AAGUGUGGACGCCAGUCUGCAUGGAGCCGACCUUGAAAUACCACCCUUUAAUGUUUGAUGUUCUAACGUGGACCCGUGAUCCGGGUUGCGGACAGUGUCUGGUGGGUAGUUUGACUGGGGCGGUCUCCUCCUAAAGAGUAACGGAGGAGCACGAAGGUUGGCUAAUCCUGGUCGGACAUCAGGAGGUUAGUGCAAUGGCAUAAGCCAGCUUGACUGCGAGCGUGACGGCGCGAGCAGGUGCGAAAGCAGGUCAUAGUGAUCCGGUGGUUCUGAAUGGAAGGGCCAUCGCUCAACGGAUAAAAGGUACUCCGGGGAUAACAGGCUGAUACCGCCCAAGAGUUCAUAUCGACGGCGGUGUUUGGCACCUCGAUGUCGGCUCAUCACAUCCUGGGGCUGAAGUAGGUCCCAAGGGUAUGGCUGUUCGCCAUUUAAAGUGGUACGCGAGCUGGGUUUAGAACGUCGUGAGACAGUUCGGUCCCUAUCUGCCGUGGGCGCUGGAGAACUGAGGGGGGCUGCUCCUAGUACGAGAGGACCGGAGUGGACGCAUCACUGGUGUUCGGGUUGUCAUGCCAAUGGCACUGCCCGGUAGCUAAAUGCGGAAGAGAUAAGUGCUGAAAGCA
rnacentral:rRNA from 1 species